AGUGAACGCUGGCGGUAGGCCUAACACAUGCAAGUCGAACGGCAGCACAGUAAGAGCUUGCUCUUACGGGUGGCGAGUGGCGGACGGGUGAGGAAUACAUCGGAAUCUACUUUUUCGUGGGGGAUAACGUAGGGAAACUUACGCUAAUACCGCAUACGACCUACGGGUGAAAGCAGGGGAUCUUCGGACCUUGCGCGAUUGAAUGAGCCGGUGUCGGAUUAGCUAGUUGGCGGGGUAAAGGCCCACCAAGGCGACGAUCGGUAGCUGGUGUGAGGGGAUGGAUCAGCACACCUGGACCGGGGCCCCGUCCCAGCCUCUACCGGAGGCCACAGUUGGGAAUAUUGGACCAUGGGGGGAAGCCUGAUCCAGCCAUACCGCGUGGGUGAAGAAGGCCUUCGGGUUGUAAAGCCCUUUUGUUGGGAAAGAAAAGCAGCAGGUUAAUACCCCGCUGUUCUGACGGUACCCAAAGAAUAAGCACCGGCUAACUUCGUG
rnacentral:rRNA from 1 species